CCUACGGGAGGCUGCAGUGAGGAAUAUUGGUCAAUGGGCGCGAGCCUGAACCAGCCAAGUCGCGUGAGGGAAGACGGUCCUAUGGAUUGUAAACCUCUUUUGUCGGGGAGCAAAAGACGCCACGCGUGGCGUUCCGAGAGUACCCGAAGAAAAAGCAUCGGCUAACUCCGUGCCAGCAGCCGCGGUAAUACGGAGGAUGCGAUCGUUAACCGGUUUUAUUGGGUUUAAAGGGUGCGCAGGCGGAAGGUCAAGUCAGCGGUAAAAUUGAGAGGCUCAACCUCUUCGAGCCGUUGAAACUGGUGUUCUUGAGUGAGCGAGAAGUAUGCGGAAUGCGUGGUGUAGCGGUGAAAUGCAUAGAUAUCACGCAGAACUCCGAUUGCGAAGGCAGCAUACCGGCGCUCAACUGACGCUCAUGCACGAAAGUGUGGGUAUCGAACAGGAUUAGAUACCCCUGUAGUC
rnacentral:rRNA from 1 species